rnacentral:rRNA from 1 species
UCCUGGCUCAGGAUGAACGCUGGCGGCGUGCCUAACACAUGCAAGUCGAACGAUUAAACCGCCCUCGGGCGGACAUAGAGUGGCGAACGGGUGAGUAACACGUGACCAACCUGCCCCGCGCUCCGGGACAACCGCUGGAAACGGCGGCUAAUACCGGAUACUCCGGGAGGGCCCCAUGGCCCUGCCGGGAAAGCCGAGACGGCGCGGGAUGGGGUCGCGGCCCAUUAGGUAGACGGCGGGGUAACGGCCCACCGUGCCCGCGAUGGGUAGCCGGACUGAGAGGUUGGCCGGCCACAUUGGGACUGAGAUACGGCCCAGACUCCUACGGGAGGCAGCAGUGGGGAAUUUUGCGCAAUGGGGGAAACCCUGACGCAGCAACGCCGCGUGCGGGACGAAGGCCCUCGGGUUGUAAACCGCUUUCAGCAGGGAAGAUCCAAGACGGUACCUGCAGAAGAAGCUCCGGCUAACUACGUGCCAGCAGCCGCGGUAAUACGUAGGGGGCGAGCGUUAUCCGGAUUCAUUGGGCCUAAAUCGCGCGUAGGCGGCCGCCUAAGCGGGACCUCUAACCCCGGGGCUCAACCCCGGGCCGGGUCCCGGACUGGGCGGCUCGAGUGCGGUAGAGGAGAGCGGAAUUCCCGGUGUAGCGGUGGAAUGCGCAGAUAUCGGGAAGAACACCGAUGGCGAAGGCAGCUCUCUGGGCCGUCACUGACGCUGAGGCGCGAAAGCUGGGGGAGCGAACAGGAUUAGAUACCCUGGUAGUCCCAGCCGUAAACGAUGGGCGGUUAGGUGUGGGGGGACGAUCCCUCCGUGCCGCAGCCAACGCAUUAAGCGCCCCGCCUGGGGAGUACGGCCGCAAGGCUAAAACUCAAAGGAAUUGACGGGGGCCCGCACAAGCAGCGGAGCAUGUGGCUUAAUUCGAAGCAACGCGAAGAACCUUACCAGGGCUUGACAUGCCGAUGAAGCCGGGGAGACCCGGUGGCCGAGAGGAGUCGGCGCAGGUGGUGCAUGGCUGUCGUCAGCUCGUGUCGUGAGAUGUUGGGUUAAGUCCCGCAACGAGCGCAACCCCCGCCCCGUGUUGCCAGCAUUCAGUUGGGGACUCGCGGGGGACUGCCGGCGUCAAGCCGGAGGAAGGUGGGGACGACGUCAAGUCAUCAUGCCCCUUAUGCCCUGGGCUGCACACGUGCUACAAUGGCCGGUACAGAGGGUUGCCACCCCGCGAGGGGGAGCGGAUCCCGGAAAGCCGGUCCCAGUUCGGAUCGCAGGCUGCAACCCGCCUGCGUGAAGCCGGAGUUGCUAGUAAUCGCGGAUCAGCACGCCGCGGUGAAUACGUUCCCGGGCCUUGCACACACCGCCCGUCA